rnacentral:rRNA from 1 species
AACGAACGCUGGCGGCAUGCCUAACACAUGCAAGUCGAACGAAGGCUUCGGCCUUAGUGGCGCACGGGUGCGUAACGCGUGGGAAUCUGCCCUUUGGUUCGGAAUAACAGCUGGAAACGGCUGCUAAUACCGGAUGAUGACGAAAGUCCAAAGAUUUAUCGCCAGAGGAUGAGCCCGCGUUGGAUUAGGUAGUUGGUGGGGUAAAGGCCUACCAAGCCGACGAUCCAUAGCUGGUCUGAGAGGAUGAUCAGCCACACUGGGACUGAGACACGGCCCAGACUCCUACGGGAGGAAGCAGUGGGGAAUAUUGGACAAUGGGCGGAAGCCUUAUCCAGCAAUGCCGCGUGAGUGAUGAAGGCCCUAGGGUUGUAAAGCUCUUUUACCCGGGAAGAUAAUGACUGUACCGGGAGAAUAAGCCCCGGCUAACUCCGUG